rnacentral:rRNA from 1 species
AUUGAACGCUGGCGGCAGGCCUAACACAUGCAAGUCGAAUGGUAACAGGAAACAGCUUGCUGUUUCGCUGACGAGUGGCGGACGGGUGAGUAAUGUCUGGGAAACUGCCUGAUGGAGGGGGAUAACUACUGGAAACGGUAGCUAAUACCGCAUAACGUCCCAAGACUAAAGAGGGGGACCUUCGGGCCUCUUGCCAUCAGUAGUGCCCAGAUGGGAUUAGCUAGUAGGUGGGGUAACGGUUCACCUAGGCGACGAUCCCUAGCUGGUCGGAGAGGAUGACCAGCCACACUGGAACUGAGACACGGUCCAGACUCCUACGGGAGGCAGCAGUGGGGAAUAUUGCACAAUGAGCGCAAGCCUGAUGCAGCCAUGCCGCGUGUAUGAAGAAGGCCUUCGGGUUGUAAAGUACUUUCUGCGGGGAGGAAGGGAGUAAGGUUAAUACCUAUGCUCAUUGACGUUGCCCGCAGAAGAAGCACCGGCUAACUCCGUG